UGCAGGCGAGGGGGCCGGCAACGGUCACCGUCGUACGGGUGCGUAACGCGUAUGCAACCUGCCUUUCACUGGGGGAUAGCCCGGGGAAACCCGGAUUAAUACCGCAUGACACAGUUUUGUCUCCUGGCAGAGCUGUUAAAGAUUUAUCGGUGGAAGAUGGGCAUGCGUCUGAUUAGCUAGUUGGUGCGGGUAACGGCCCACCANGGCGACGAUCAGUAGGGGAGCUGAGAGGUUGAUCCCCCACACGGGCACUGAGAUACGGGCCCGACUCCUACGGGAGGCAGCAGUAGGGAAUAUUGGGCAAUGGAUGAGAGUCUGACCCAGCCAUGCCGCGUGCCGGAUGAAGGCCCUCAGGGUUGUAAACGGCUUUUAUCCGGGAAGAAUAGCAGGGGUGCGCCCCUGUGUGACGGUACCGGAUGAAUAAGCACCGGCUAACUCCGUGCCAGCAGCCGCGGUAAUACGGAGGGUGCAAGCGUUGUCCGGAUUUAUUGGGUUUAAAGGGUGCGUAGGUGGCUUGUUAAGUCAGUGGUGAAAGACAGCCGCUCAACGGUUGAGGUGCCAUUGAUACUGACAGGCUUGAAGCAGACAGAGGCUGCCGGAAUGGAUGGUGUAGCGGUGA
rnacentral:rRNA from 1 species